AGUGAACGCUGGCGGUAGGCCUAACACAUGCAAGUCGAACGGCAGCACAGGAGAGCUUGCUCUCUGGGUGGCGAGUGGCGGACGGGUGAGGAACACAUCGGAAUCUACUUUUUCGUGGGGGAUAACGUAGGGAAACUUACGCUAAUACCGCAUACGACCUACGGGUGAAAGCAGGGGAUCUUCGGACCUUGCGCGAUUGAAUGAGCCGAUGUCGGAUUAGCUAGUUGGCGGGGUAAAGGCCCACCAAGGCGACGAUCCGUAGCUGGUCUGAGAGGAUGAUCAGCCACACUGGAACUGAGACACGGUCCAGACUCCUACGGGAGGCAGCAGUGGGGAAUAUUGGACAAUGGGCGCAAGCCUGAUCCAGCCAUACCGCGUGGGUGAAGAAGGCCUUCGGGUUGUAAAGCCCUUUUGUUGGGAAAGAAAUCCAGCUGGCUAAUACCCGGUUGGGAUGACGGUACCCAAAGAAUAAGCACCGACUAACUUCGUGCCAGCAGCCGCCGUAACAC
rnacentral:rRNA from 1 species